GGUCCCAUGGUGUAGCGGUUAGCAGUUAGGACCCUGAAUCCUGCGACGGGAGUUCAAAUCCCCCUGGGACCU
rnacentral:tRNA from 1 species